GCCUCAGGGUGCCUCGGCACGGGGCCUGGCUCCGUCACCACGUGAGCGGCCUGAUCAAGGUGACGUAGGCCGUGCCCGCUCGGCGCCGCGUGCCUGGCUCCUGCCAGCGCCACGUUGCCCCCGAUCCUCACCUGUGCCAGGCUUGUGGGCAAAGGUGGAGGUUCGCCAUGGCCACUAGCAAGCUUCUCCCAAGUGGCUCUGCUCGUCAGUUUUUCCUGACCUCGGGCAGGGCUUGCCAGGUCUCCCUGAAGGUGUUCUCUGUUAACGCU